AGCAACGCCAAGCUGGCGGCUGGGAUUUGGACUCACGCUGGCGAAGUCGCGAGGUUUCGGCUGCGCUUAUCCCCGCCUGGCGCCCCCAGACUUGAAGAGGCAGCGCCCCACCCUCGCCCUAGAGAGGAAGACGCAGCUAAGACGCACAUCUCACCUCUUUUUUUUUGUUUUUAAGGCGAGAAAUAGAUUUAUUAAGGUAGGACGCUUGUGAGAGAUGCAAGCGGGCAGGCAAGGAGGCUCUGCCCAUUUCACCUCUUCAUUGGCGGCUGGCGGAGCCCAGACUGAACUUUAGCCUGGGUUUAUACUUCCCAAGCUAAGGCUGAGGAGCCCAAAGACCUCCCGGACACACCAGGUCCUGAGCACCCUGCUCCACCUGUGACCCUCUGGGCAGCGGAGACUUCAAGUCCACCCUGCUCCUGCUUGGCCCUCCCCGAACCAGUGGUCAGGUGGAGCCACAGCGCCUGCUGUAGUCCUGGAUGGAGGCCUGGAAGUGCUCCGUGCUGUUGAGAUCUGGGCGGCACAGGAUGAUAUAGCAUUUGGGGAGGAAAUAACCGCUGAAGCCUCCACUCAGGCUGCUCAGCAUGGCAAACACGUUGACGGCGGCCAGGUACUUGCCCUGGUAGACACUGGCCACGGUGAAGAAGGUGAUCCAGGACACGAAGUUGAGGAGCAGGCUGAAGGGUUGGCAGCUGUAGGGGUCUGGAAGGGAAGGCGGAGAGGGUUCCUGAGAGCCAGACAUGCGAGUAUCUGCAUUCAGGCCAAGCUCUUCGCGGUGCUGGCUGUCAGUGGCAUGGAUCACGGGAGGGACUUCAUACAGAUAGCGUGGAAGGGUACAAAGGAAACGACAGCCACAUCUGUUUGGAACAGAGGUUGAAUUUAGGGAGUUCCUGUGGCGGCUCAGUGGUAACGAACCCGACGAGUAUCCAUGAGGACGCAGGUUCAAUCUCUGUCCUCACUCAAUGGGUUAAGGAUCCACCGUUGCUGUGAGCUGUGGUGUAGAUCGCAGACGUGGCUUGGAUCCUGUGUUGCUGUGGCUCUGGCGUAGGCCGGCAGCUACAGCUCUGAUUCGACCCCCAGCCUGGGAAUCUCCAUAUGCUGUGGGAGCAGCCCUAAAAUGGCAAAAAAACAAAAAAACAAAACAAAACAAAAAGGUUGUAUUUAGGAUAUCAUUGCCUCUGCAGGCAUUGGCUUGGGAGCUCUCAAACAAAGGACACAGCUAGGCCCGAGGCCGUCAACUGGUUGGUUCUUUCUGCUUGAUCAGAAUUCAGUCUCCAACCUGUCACUAACUGGCAGAAAAGUGACCAAGCCCUGGUUCUGCACGUGUACAGCCGGAGGGAGGUCCUGUCCUCUGCUCUACGCCUUCAGAGCACCCAGUGGGUCACCUGAUCACCGUUCAGUCACUCACCACUCUCGUUGAGGAAGGUCCCGGCCUCACAAGGCACACACUCAAAGCAGCAGUGGUGGAAACUCAUGAUCACUUUCUGGUGGCCCUCAGGACAGUCGCUGGAACACACGGACGUCGGCACCUGCAAGAAGCCAUCGACAUUCUGCAACCGUGGACGGGGGUUCCAAAUCACGGGAUGCUCCCAUGUGGGACCGAAAACUGGCUCCCUGGCAUCUGCGCCCACGGUUCAUUCCCAGGGCAGAGCCCUGGGUUGUGUGACCAGCGACAAACGGGCAUCUGUCUGGGAGCCCGUAGAUGCAUAGCGGCCGGGUCCCCAGGGCCCCCUCUCCUGCUCUGUGUAGGCUGUGUCCGCCCUGUCCCCAGGCUCCUGACAGUCCACUGGGCAGUCACCUGCUGAGUGACCAUGUCCACGUUACCUGGUUGUCCCCGCCACGCCAUGGGAUUUUGGUAGUAUUUAUGUCUAGCUGAACUGGCGACAACAAUGACGACGAUGACGAGCCGAUGACCCUGAAGGUCCACUUGGGGCCACUCCAGUCCCAGGCAAUUAUGUCAUAGCCGCUGAGCGAGUCCCCACUGUCACUAAAUGUCACAGUGUGCUUGUGUAGAAGGAAAUUGACCUUGCGGAUCUCCUCCAGGAGCUGAAACAACGGGGUGACGGAGCUGCAGUGAUGACCCUCCCAGACCCAGACAGCCCAGGAAGCAAGGGUGUGGGGCCUUGUUGAGCUGCUAUCUGAGCAGUUUCAGCCCAUCUGCACGUUCUGGUCCCUUCCUCAGGGCCCCUCCCCUCCUACGAGGCCCCUCGGCCCCUCCCAUCCAGCCUCUAGAGUGAGAGGAAACCUCUCACGAAGGAGCCCUUGACAGAGCCUUCUCCUCUGCCCGCUUGUCUCUCCCACAAGCAUCCUAUUUUUGGUUGUUUUUUUUUUUCUUUUUUGUCUUUUUAGGGCCACAUCCAGAGAAUAUGGAAGUUCCCAGGCUAGGGGUCAAAUCAGAGCUGUGGCUGCCAGCCUACACCACAGGCACAGCCAUGCCAGAUCUGAGCUGCAUCUGCAACCUACACCACGGCUCACAGCGACACUGGAUCCUUGACCGACUGAGUGAGGCCAGGGAUCAAACCCCUAUCCUCAUGGACACUAGUUGGGUUCGUUACAGCUGACCCACAAGGAGAACUCCACAAGCAUCCUAUCUUUUUGUUGUUGUCUUUUUUGCUAUUUCUUUGGGCCGCUCCCACGGCAUAUGGAGGUUCCCAGGCUAGGGGUCCAAUCGGAGCUGUAGCCACUGGCCUACGCCAGAGCCACAGCAACUCGGGAUCCGAGCCGCGUCUGCAACCUGUACCACAGCUCACGGCAACGCCGGAUCCUUAACCCACUGAGCAAGGCCAGGGACCAAACCCGCAACCUCAUGGUUCCUAGUCGGAUUCGUUAACCACUGUGCCACGAUGGGAACUCCCCAUCUUAAUAAAUCCAUUUCUUGCCUAUCACUUUGUCUCUCGCUGAAUUCCUUCUGUGCUGAGACACAAAGAACCUGAGCCUCAGUAAGUUCAGACCCCAGAACUAAAACCUCCAACAAAUGAAAGAUGAAGCAUUCCUGAGGAAGAAUCACACUUGAUGAAGCCUGCUUCAUUCCAGAAAGAAGGACCACCAGAACCAGACCCAGCCACUAAACAGCAGCUUUGAAGAAGAAUGAAAGCUUGGGAGUUCCGGUUGUGACUCAGUGGUAAUUCACCUGACUA